rnacentral:siRNA from 1 species
AUUUGAGUUGUUCACGAAUGCAA